rnacentral:rRNA from 1 species
UGAGUAACCUGCCCUUAACUCUGGGAUAAGCCUGGGAAACUGGGUCUAAUACCGGAUAUGACUCCUCAUCGCAUGGUGGGGGGUGGAAAGCUUUUUGUGGUUUUGGAUGGACUCGCGGCCUAUCAGCUUGUUGGUGAGGUAAUGGCUCACCAAGGCGACGACGGGUAGCCGGCCUGAGAGGGUGACCGGCCACACUGGGACUGAGACACGGCCCAGACUCCUACGGGAGGCAG